UCGGGGUGGGGAGUCGAUGGAGUACUCAUAAAGUGAGAGACUAGUGUAAUAACUAGUUAACAACACCGAACAUAACACGUUUUGCGGUUCUAGUAGGCUGAACACUCAACUACUGCACAGCACAGUUAUUUAAAGUCGUGUGACCUUAGUGCAAUAGUUCAGUACUAAGCAGUGUUUUAUGCCAACUAAAUGGACUGGAAAUUGGAAAGAAUGGCUGUUCCCAAAAUCAAAACCGACGAAGAUAUGCUCUGGGAGAGUAUAAUGACUAAACUUGCCGAAGAUAUGAAGCGGAACAGAAGAAUACAUCAAACGAAAAGUACUGAGCCAAGGAAGCUAGCAAUGAAAAUGCUGACAAGCUGACAAACUGACUAGAAGAACUGAGAAUGCACCAAAUGGAUAUGUACUUCUGUGUGGUGGUCAGGCAGUGUAAAGUUAGCUGGCUGUAAUAUGCAAUCACCCCAGCUAAUGUGAUGCUGUCAUAUUACUGCACGUUCUCUAAACAACAUGACUCUGAAGACUGUUAGAUGUAAUAUCCAAGCUAAACUAAUAUUGAAAUUCCACUGCCAGAAUGAAGGCAAGGAGGAGAAGAAAAGCAUCCAGAAAUGAAGAAAAUGGGUACGCUGACCACCCCAAAAUGUUCAUGAAAUCCAGUAAAAGGAAACCAAUUACAAUGUCAGGAAAAUGUAACUUGGAUGAAAAUAUGUUGCAUUUUGUUUUAUGACCUACUUUGUUUUGUGAUUAAACAUAUUUCCCUUAUAAAUAAUAAAUGUAUUUAUGUGCAUUUGUUAACCAGAGAAGAGCACUGAUGUAAAUGUAGUUUUUUCAUGCUCAGCCAAUGAGUACUAUGUGGCUAAGUGGCUUUUUUAAAGUCACACAGUAUAUUAAACACAAGUAAAACCAAUAAGAACAGAAGG